GACGAACGCUGGCGGCGUGCUUAACACAUGCAAGUCGAACGGAAAGGCCCUGCUUGCAGGGUGCUCGAGUGGCGAACGGGUGAGUAACGCGUGGGUGAUCUGCCCCUUACUUUGGGAUAAGCCUGGGAAACUGGGUCUAAUACUGGAUAGGACCAUGCUGUAGGUGGUGUGGUGGAAAGAUUAGUUUCGGUAAGGGAUGAGCUCGCGGCCUAUCAGCUUGUUGGUGGGGUAAUGGCCUACCAAGGCGUCGACGGGUAGCCGGCCUGAGAGGGUGGACGGCCACAUUGGGACUGAGAUACGGCCCAGACUCCUACGGGAGGCAGCAGUGGGGAAUAUUGCACAAUGGGCGCAAGCCGGAUGCAGCGACGCCGCGUGGGGGAUGACGGCCUUCGGGUUGUAAACUCCUUUCAGCCAUGACGAAGCCCUUGUGGUGACGGUAGUGGUAGAAGAAGCACCGGCUAACUACGUG
rnacentral:rRNA from 1 species